rnacentral:rRNA from 1 species
GACGAACGCUGGCGGCGUGCUUAACACAUGCAAGUCGAACGGAAAGGCCCCUUUGGGGGUACUCGAGUGGCGAACGGGUGAGUAACACGUGAGUAACCUGCCCUUGACUUCGGGAUAACUUCAGGAAACUGGGGCUAAUACCGGAUAGGAAUCCUUGCUGCAUGGUGGGGGUUGGAAAGCUUCGGCGGUUUUGGAUGGACUCGCGGCUUAUCAGCUUGUUGGUGGGGUAGUGGCUUACCAAGGCGUUGACGGGUAGCCGGCCUGAGAGGGCGACCGGCCACAUUGGGACUGAGAUACGGCCCAGACUCCUACGGGAGGCAGCAGGGGGGAAUAUUGCACAAUGGGCGGAAGCCUGAUGCAGCAACGCCGCGGGCGGGAUGACGGCCUUCGGGUUGUAAAACGCUUUCAGCAGGGGCGAAGCUUGUGGUGACGGUACCUGCAGAAGAAGCACCGGCUAACUACGUG